UACGUAGGGUGCAAGCGUUGUCCGGAAUUAUUGGGCGUAAAGAGCUUGUAGGCGGUCUGUCGCGUCUGCUGUGAAAAUCCGGGGCUCAACCCCGGACUUGCAGUGGGUACGGGCAGACUAGAGUGUGGUAGGGGAGACUGGAAUUCCUGGUGUAGCGGUGAAAUGCGCAGAUAUCAGGAGGAACACCGAUGGCGAAGGCAGGUCUCUGGGCAUUAACUGACGCUGAGGAGCGAAAGCAUGGGGAGCGAACAGG
rnacentral:rRNA from 1 species